UUAUACCGUGAAACUGCGAAUGGCUCAUUAAAUCAGUUAUUGUUUAUUUGAUAAUACCUUACUACUUGGAUAACCGUGGUAAUUCUAGAGCUAAUACAUGCUGAAAAUCCCGACUUCGGAAGGGUUGUGUUUAUUAGAUAAAAAACCAAUGCCCUUCGGGGCUCCUUGGUGAUUCAUGAUAACUUUACGGAUCGCAUAGCCUUGCGCUGGCGACGGUUCAUUCAAAAUUCUGCCCUUUCAACUUUCGAUGGUAAGGUAUUGGCUUACCAUGGUUUCAACGGGUAAUGGGGAAUUAGGGUUCGAUUCCGGAGAGGCAGCCUGAGAAACGGCUACCACAUCCAAUGAAGGCAGCAGGCGCGCAAAUUACCCAAUCCCGACACGGGGAGGUAGUGACAAUAAAUACUGAUACAGGGCUGUUUUGGGUCUUGUAAUUGGAAUGAGAACAAUUCAAAUCUCUUAACGAGGAACAAUUGGAGGGCAAGUCUGGUGCCAGCAGCCGCGGUAAUUCCAGCUCCAAUAGCGUAUAUUAAAGUUGAUGCAGUUAAAAAGCUCGUAGGUGAAACUUGGGCCUGGCUGGCGGGUCCGCCUCACCGCGUGCACUCGUCCGGCCGGGCCUUCCUUCUGAAGAACCUCAUGCCCUUCACGGGCCGUGCUGGGGAAUCAGGACUUUUACUUUGAAACAAUUAGCGUGUUCAAAGCAGGCCUUUGCUCGAAUACGUUAGCAUGGAAUAAUAAAAUAGGGCGUGCGUUUCUAUUUUGUUGGUUUCUAGAGACGCCGCAAUGAUUAACAGGAACAGUCGGGGGCAUCAGUAUUCAGUUGUCCAGGGUGAAAUUCUUGGAUUUACUGAAGAC
rnacentral:rRNA from 1 species